AUUGAACGCUGGCGGGAGGCUUAACACAUGCAAGUCGAACGAGUGGCGGACGGGUGAGUAAUGCUUGGGAAUGUAGCUUAUGGAGGGGGAUAACUACGGGAAACAGUAGCUAAUACCGCGUACCAUAGGAUGAGCCCAUGUGGGAUUAGGUAGUUGGUGAGGUAAAGGCUCACCAAGGCGACGAUCUCUAGCUGGUCUGAGAGGAUGACCAGCCAAACUGGGACUGAGACACGGCCCAGACUCCUACGGCAGGCAGCAGUGGGGAAUAUUGCGCAAUGGGGGCAACCUGACGCAGCCAUGCCGCGUGUAUGAUGAAGGCCUUCGGGUUGUAAAGUUCUUUCGGCAGAGAGGCGUUAACUGCAGAAGAAGCACCGGCUAACUCCGUGCCAGCAGCCGCGGUAAUUC
rnacentral:rRNA from 1 species